CUUGAUUUGUUAUAAGAGGUCCAGCCUGCCCAGUGACCAUGUUCAACGGCCGCGGUAUCCUAACCGUGCGAAGGUAGCGUAAUCACUUGUUCUUUAAAUGUGGACUAGUAUGAACGGCAUCACGAAGGUUAYACUGUCUCCUUUUUCUAAUCAGUGAAACUAAUCUCCCCGUGAAGAAGCGUGGAUAAAAUUAUAAGACGAGAAGACCCUAUGGAGCUUUAAACAACACAGCACUUACCUGAGAACCUUGAAUGUUUCUGUAACACUAACUCUUAGAGUAAGAUGACUGCAAGUUUUUGGUUGGGGUGACCACGGAGUAUAUCAUAACCUCCAUGUUGAAAGAAUUUUUCUAAGCCAAGAACAACCUAUCUAAGCAUUAAUAAAUUAACAUCUAUUGACCCAAUAAAUUUGACCAACGAAC
rnacentral:rRNA from 1 species